rnacentral:rRNA from 1 species
GACGAACGCUGGCGGCGUGCUUAACACAUGCAAGUCGAACGGAAAGGCCCUGCUUUUGUGGGGUGCUCGAGUGGCGAACGGGUGAGUAACACGUGAGUAACCUGCCCUUGACUUUGGGAUAACUUCAGGAAACUGGGGCUAAUACCGGAUAGGAGCUCCUGCUGCAUGGUGGGGGUUGGAAAGUUUCGGCGGUUGGGGAUGGACUCGCGGCUUAUCAGCUUGUUGGUGGGGUAGUGGCCUACCAAGGCUUUGACGGGUAGCCGGCCUGAGAGGGUGACCGGCCACAUUGGGACUGAGAUACGGCCCAGACUCCUACGGGAGGCAGCAGUGGGGAAUAUUGCACAAUGGGCGGAAGCCUGAUGCAGCAACGCCGCGUGCGGGAUGACGGCCUUCGGGUUGUAAACCGCUUCCGCCUGUGACGAAGCGUGAGUGACGGUAAUGGGUAAAGAAGCACCGGCUAACUACGUG